rnacentral:rRNA from 1 species
GACGAACGCUGGCGGCGUGCCUAAUACAUGCAAGUAGAACGCACAGUUUAUACCGUAGCUUGCUACACCAUAAACUGUGAGUUGCGAACGGGUGAGUAACGCGUAGGUAACCUGCCUGGUAGCGGGGGAUAACUAUUGGAAACGAUAGCUAAUACCGCAUAAUAUUGAUUAUUGCAUGAUAAUUGAUUGAAAGAUGCUAUUGCAUCACUACCAGAUGGACCUGCGUUGUAUUAGCUAGUAGGUGAGGUAACGGCUCACCUAGGCGACGAUACAUAGCCGACCUGAGAGGGUGAUCGGCCACACUGGGACUGAGACACGGCCCAGACUCCUACGGGAGGCAGCAGUAGGGAAUCUUCGGCAAUGGACGAAAGUCUGACCGAGCAACGCCGCGUGAGUGAAGAAGGUUCUCGGAUCGUAAAGCUCUGUUGUAAGAGAAGAACGGGUGUGAGAGUGGAAAGUUCACACUGUGACGGUAUCUUACCAGAAAGGGACGGCUAACUACGUG